UACGGAGGGUGCAAGCGUUAAUCGGAAUUACUGGGCGUAAAGCGUGCGCAGGCGGUUUGUUAAGUCCGUUGUGAAAGCCCCGAGCUCAACUUGGGAAUUGCAGUGGAUACUGGCAGGCUGGAGCACGGUAGAGGAAGGUGGAAUUCCCGGUGUAGCAGUGAAAUGCGUAGAUAUCGGGAGGAACACCAGUGGCGAAAGCGGCUCACUGGACCAUUACUGACGCUGAGGCACGAAAGCUAGGGGAGCAAACAGG
rnacentral:rRNA from 1 species